rfam:Rhodnius prolixus Rhodnius_prolixus-3.0.3-124.6, whole genome shotgun sequence.
GGUUCCGUGGUGUAGUGGUUAUCACAUCUGCUUUACACGCAGAAGGUCGCCAGUUCGAUCCUGGCCGGAAUCA